UACGUAGGGCGCAAGCGUUAUCCGGAAUCAUUGGGCGUAAAGCGCGUGUAGGCGGUUCGGUAAGUCCGCUGUGAAAGUCGGGGGCUCAACCCUCGAAAGCCGGUGGAUACUGUCGGGCUAGAGUACGGAAGAGGCGAGUGGAAUUCCUGGUGUAGCGGUGAAAUGCGCAGAUAUCAGGAGGAACACCAAUUGCGAAGGCAGCUCGCUGGGACGUUACUGACGCUGAGACGCGAAAGCGUGGGGAGCAAACAGG
rnacentral:rRNA from 1 species